rnacentral:rRNA from 1 species
GACGAACGCUGGCGGCGUGCCUAAUACAUGCAAGUUGAGCGCUGAAGGUUGGUACUUGUACCAACUGGAUGAGCAGCGAACGGGUGAGUAACGCGUGGGGAAUCUGCCUUUGAGCGGGGGACAACAUUUGGAAACGAAUGCUAAUACCGCAUAAAAACUUUAAACACAAGUUUUAAGUUUGUAAGAUGCAAUUGCAUCACUCAAAGAUGAUCCCGCGUUGUAUUAGCUAGUUGGUGAGGUAAAGGCUCACCAAGGCGAUGAUACAUAGCCGACCUGAGAGGGUGAUCGGCCACAUUGGGACUGAGACACGGCCCAAACUCCUACGGGAGGCAGCAGUAGGGAAUCUUCGGCAAUGGACGAAAGUCUGACCGAGCAACGCCGCGUGAGUGAAGAAGGUUUUCGGAUCGUAAAACUCUGUUGGUAGAGAAGAACGUUGGUGAGAGUGGAAAGCUCAUCAAGUGACGGUAACUACCCAGAAAGGGACGGCUAACUACGU